AUAAACUAAACAUUAUUGUAACAAAUGUAGUCUUAUUAUAACAUAAUAAAACUUUCAACAACGGAUCUCUUGGCUCUCGCAUCGAUGAAGAACGCAGCGAAAUGCGAUAAGUAAUGUGAAUUGCAGAAUUCAGUGAAUCAUCGAAUCUUUGAACGCACCUUGCGCUCCUUGGUAUUCCGAGGAGCAUGCCUGUUUGAGUGUCAUGAAACCCUCAAACCCAAGUUUUGGAUUUCGAUCCAUGCUUGAGUUUGGAUUUGGAUGUUUGCCGGUGAUGAACCGACUCAUCUUAAAAGUAUUAGCUUGGAUCUGUCUAUAUGACUGGUUUGACUUGGCAUAAUAAGUAUUUUGCUGAGGACAUCUUCGGAUGGCCAGGACCUAGACUACUGUCUGCUAACUAAACCAUCACUUUAAGUGCAUCUUUGGAUGUUACUCAUUGUGUAACUUUGACAUCUGGCCUCAAAUCAAGUAGGACUACCCGCUGAACUUAAGCA
rnacentral:rRNA from 1 species